UUUUGUCUUUUUUUUUUUUAAUGCCCUUUUUUCUCCCCCCAUUUUCCCUCUGUGUCUUUUUUUUACUUUGCUGGAGCUUCACACCAGGACUGAACAGUGAUGUAUGUUGCUGUUAGGUCUUUUUAUUCCGCUUGAACUCUCUUUUCAGAGGUUUGUGGUUAUAAAACCUGCUUGACUAAAAAUAUAUCUGUGAGCAGGUAAGAGGAUGGGAAUAUUGAGAGAGUGUGUGCGGGGUCAGCCUGUUUACUCACACUCUCCUGCUUGGGAUUCCGCCUGGGCAGAGUGAAUUUGUGGCUCUGUGGAUGUGGAUGGAUGUGGCUGAGGAAGGAAGAGACUGAGAAAUGGGCUAGAAACUUUAGUAUCUGCCAGUUAUUCCCGCUCCUGGAGUGGGCAAUGCUGGCAUCACCGUGGCAGAUCUGCCAGGAGAUGUGGCGGAGUGGGGAGGAUAGGAACCGAAUCAACCCCAGACCCUCCGCCUGCCUCGGCAAUUGCCGUUUUAAUGCAAAACGACCAAUGGUGAAUUGUUUUAAAUGCGUUUCAUUACCCUCCCUGCUCUUCAGCCUCCCGCAAAAAGUUGUCAAUAAUUUUAAACCUGCAGAUCUCCAGAACACUUUUCUUCCCAGAGGACUGGAUAGGGUGUUUUUUGGUUUUUUUUGUGGUUUUUUUUUUCCUAAGAAUAUAUAUAUAUAUAUUGGAUUUUGGUAAACGACUUUUAAGUUCCAGUCAGUACUUUCACUUCUUGCUUUAGGAUCCCAGAAGCUAAGGUGUUACUUCACCCAGCUUCACAAAAUAAAAUAAAGAAAUGAAACUAAGUAAGCAGACAAAACAGCAAACUUUCUGUUUGGGGAAACACAUCCUUUGCCGGGGAGCCCUGCCCGGGGCUGGGGCUCCAGCAGUGCCCGGCCGGGCUGGCUCUGCAGGCAUUAACAGGAGGACUAACUCACUUCCUAGCACUAAAACUUUCGCUGCUGCCUUGUAAAAGGCACCUCCCGUACCUGGCUCACAGUUUUGGCCAGAAAUGGUGAGAAGAAAAAGCAUCAAGAAGCCGCGAAGUGGAGGAGAAAAGGUGAAGGGAGAUGCAGCUCCUGGAGAAAUUGUAAAAAAAGCCUUGCAAAGAGUUGUCGGAAGGACCGUUAUUCCUGCUGGGCAGGAGCGAGAGGAGAGACCCUGAAACACACGCCACCUAUCUUUGUGGGGAGGGAUAAUUGAAGAGCACCAAAC